UGGAAUAAUCAGUCGGGUAAAUUUCACAAUUACUGUGCGGCUUCUUUAAGACCCCGACCAUGAAGGGAUAUGCAAUAAUGUUGCUAGUUUGCAUGCUCUGUUUUUCUAGUUGCCACUGCGGCUAUCCGAGUGAUAUUCCAGAAGAGUCUAAAAUAAACGAUACAACGGACUCUGGUUAUUGUAAACAAUUUAGCCCACAAUGCAAUCAUGG